rnacentral:rRNA from 1 species
CGUAGGUGGUUGUUUAAGCUGGAUGUGAAAUCCCUGGGCUUAACCUAGGAAUGGCAUACAGGACUGAACGACUGGAGUACUGUAGAGGGUAGUGGAAUUUCCGGUGUAGCGGUGAAAUGCGUAGAGAUCGGAAGGAACACCAGUGGCGAAGGCGGCUACCUGGACAGAUACUGACACUGAGGCGCGAGAGCGUGGGUAGCAAACA